UAAGUGUGAAGCCCACCUCAAGAUGAGAUUUCCCAUUUCUUUAAGAAAGUAAGAUCCCUGAGAGAUGAUCAGGUAGAUAGGUCAGAAGUGGAAGGCCAGUGAUGGUUGGAGCGGACUGAUACUAAUCGAUCGAGGACUUAACCAA
rnacentral:rRNA from 1 species